CUCUCAUUGCCGGAUGCCAUCCAUGUAAGAUGUGACUUGCUCCUCCUUGCCUUCCACCACGAUUGUGAGGCCUCUCCAGCCACAUGGAACUGUAAGUCCACUAAACCUCUUUCUUUUGUAAAUUGCCCAGUCUCAGGUAUGUCUUUAUCAGCAGCAUGAAAAUGAACUAAUACACCUUCUUUGAGACACAGAUUUAGAUAUAAGCAUGGGUCCAGGUAUGAAUAUGGGUUAAUAGGUAAAUAGAUAUGUCUGAAGCAGGCAGUAAGGAUACUCUUGCAUGCCUGAGAAACUAUAACCAAUGGCUACAAAGAAGCAUUUAGAAAAAUGCUUAGAUGCUGAAAAGUAAUAUGUGAGUAUAUGUAGGGUAUAUGAAUCAUGGUGAUUAUAAUUAUUUCCCAGCACCUUCUACUCCAAGUGUGGUCCACAGGCAGGUGUCAUCAGCAUUACCUAGGAGCUUGUCAGAGAUGCAGAAUGUCUCAUUUCUUGCAUAUGAAUCAGAAUCUGCAUUUUAACAAUAUUCUACUGAUUUUCAUAUUAAAAUUAAAAUUUGAUUCUCACAUUAAAAUUUGAGAAGCACUGGCUGGGCGCAGUGGCUCACACCUGUAAUCCCAACACUUUGGGAGGCUGAGGCAGGCAGAUCACGAGGUCAGGAGUUCGAGACUAGCCUGACCAACAUGGUGAAACCCUGUCUCUACUAAAAAUACAAAAAUUAGCUGGGUGUAGUGGCGCACACCUGUAAUCCCAGCUACUUGGGAGGUUGCAGUAAGCCAAGGUCACACCAUUGAACUCCAGCCUGGAUGACAGAGUGAGACUCCAUCUCAAAAAAAAAAAAAAAAAAUUUGAGAAGCACCACCCUAGAUGCUUUGUGAGCCAUAUAUAGCAAGUAGAGGUGGUGUAUUAACAUCAAACUUUUGGUUAGGCACAAUAGGCACAAGUGUUUAUGAGCCCACAGUACCUUAAGGGACUCAUGAAAUAGUUUUAAUUUCUUUUAAAAUCAAAAUUUAAAAAUAAACUUUUAUAUGGAAGAAAGUAUUUUAAUAUGUAAUCUUAGUAUAUUUCAUCUUUAUUUCAGUGCAACUCUAAAAUACAAUUUUAAUAUGUUUCUUUGUGGAGGAAGGGGCCCAGGAAAGCAAAAAUUCCUAGCGCCCACAUAAAGUGACAAAUAACAAAACACCCCCCAAAAUGAAGGAAAUCCUGGGCAGCUGUCUCAGUGACAUCUCCUUUUUUAUCUCUGUCAUUAACUGUUAGAUCUACUUUUCAGAAAGAAUUACAGAUCCCCCCCAAAAAAGACCUUACUAUAAAUCAAUCAUUUGUAUGCAAUUUAUAUGCCUACUAAUGUCCAUAAAUGUUCAUUUUAAAAGAAAACCUAUUGUACUUACUUUUAAAAUGUCUUCUGUUUUUAAAUUUGCAUGAUUUCACAGGUAUUUUCAAAUGCCAAUAAACAUUUCUCUAGCUGGGUUUUAAUGACCACAUUAAAUUUCAUGGUAUAAAAUAUAAACUUCUAGUGAAUUAGUUUCCACUUGUUGCUACUAUGAGUAACACUAUGAUAAAUAAAUAUCCUUGUCGCAAAUCCAUGAUUAUUUUCUUCAGCGAAAUUCCUAAAGUGAAAUUACUAUAUAUACUUUUUAAACAUGUAUAGCUUUGGCUAACUUUCAAUUUUGAUAGUUUCAAACUUAUAGAAAAGUUGCAGGAACCAUGCAAGGAGCUCCUCCAUUCCCUUUCCCUAGAUACGUCAGUUUUGCCCCGUGCCCCAUUUGCUUUGUGUUCUGAAUUCUCUGUCUUGCUCUCUUUCUUUCUCUCUCUCUCUUUCUCCAUCUGUCUAUCUCUAUCUGUAUCUCUCUCUUCAUCUCCCUCUUUCCCACGACCAUUUGAGAGCAAGUUGAUACAAAUCUGUCCCUUAGCCACUGAAUAAAUAUUUGGUGUGUUUUUCCCCAAAGCAAAGAUGCUGUGUUAUACGACCACGUGAACACAAUUAUGAAAAUCAGGGAAUUAACAUGGGCAUACUGCUAUUAUCUGUUGCACACUCCAUACUUCAGUGUAGCCAACUGUGCUGUCAAUGUUCUUUAGACGUCCCCACUGCCAUCUCCCACCUCCUCACCCCAGAAUCCAUUUCAGGAUUCACAUCACAUUUGUUGUUAUUCAGUCACCUUUAGUCUGGAACAGCUCCACAUUGUUAUUCUUGUUCUGGACAAUUUUGGGUUAGUUUUUGUUUCAAAUUUUUGUGGGCACAUAGUAGGUGUAUAUAUUUAUGGGGUACAUGAGAUGUUUUGAUACAGACAUGCAAUGUGAAAUAAGCACAUCAUGGGGAAUGGACAUUUUAUGGUAUUGAUAUUUAUUACAAAAUAACUCUUUAAAUAAUAUUGCUUCUUAUGAGAGGAAGCAUAUAAGCAUGUCCAUUUCUUCAUAUUUUUAAAACAUUAAUAUUCUUUUUCAGCUUUCUCAUCUGAUAACCACAAUAUACAUUUUGUUUUUCUUUAAAUAUUCAUUUCCUAGAUUACUAGUGAAGCUGAAUAUUUUUUCUUUUCACAUUAUUCUUUCAUGUCUUUUGUGUAUUCUUCUAUUUGAGAUUUUGUCUUUUUAAUUGAUUUAUAGAUAUGUUUCAUUCUUUAUAUAAUAAAGAUGCUACCCUUUUGCCGACAAAUAUUUUUCCCGGGGUCAUUCAUGGUGCAUGAUAAAGAGAAGCUUUUCAUUUGUAUGUAGUGUUAUAUAAUCAGUAUUUCUUACUGAUGCUUUUGCCUUUGGAAUUGGGCUUGACAAAACCUUUCCUACUCAUUAUAUCAAUAUCCUUCUAAAUUUUCAACUAAUUAUUUUAUUACCUGUUUUACAUUUACUUUUGAGCAUUAUAAAGUAUAUUUUUGUACCUAACUUACAUUUUCAAAAAAUGUAAUUAAUUAUUGCCACUGAUUUGGAAUGUCAACUUUAAAUUAUAUUAAUCAUACUAAACACUGAACAAAAUAAAUUUGCAUCCAAAUUCAAUAUUUUAGAAGAAACAGGAAUAACAGAACUUUACACCAGAAGAAAUCAUAGGAUAUAAUUUAUUAAUGAAGAUAAAGGAAAACAUGUGUUUGAUGAUUCAAAACAGAAAAUAAUUUUCCUUUUUAAAAAGGGAUUAAAAAUUGUAUUUUGUUGUUUUGUUCUGGGUCUGUUAAGCUGGGGCCUCACACUUAAAACUGUAGUAAUAUAUAUAACCAUCUGGAGAAUAUUUUUUAAUAAAGGGAAAGAGACAAUUUUAUUAUUUACAUUUUAAAUAGACCAUAUAGAAAUUAGCUUAUUUGUCAAUUUAUUUUUACCUCCAAAUCCCCUCACUUAAAAUUUUGAUCUUUAAGAGGAGAAAUAUCUCCAACAUCAAUUAAAAAGAUAUCUAAUACAUUUGGACUGCAGCCUACUAACCAUGUACCCCUUAUAUUACAUAAGAUGGCACAUUCAUUGCCAAACAUACGUUUUAUAAAUUAAACAAAUUUUAUUAUAAAGCUGUUUAAUGAAACUAGCAAAUUUAGACUUGUUUAAAUGUCAGUAAAAUAUUAAGUACCAUAUGUUCUUUGCCAAGUAGUUUUUGGAAGCACAUGAAAUUAAUUGUUAAACAAGAGAAUUUAUCGACUUAAAGUACUUCACAAUCAAUGUUAUCAUUUAAUGCAUCUUUUGGCAAUUAUUAAACCCUAGGGAACAGCAUGAAUAUCCUUAUCAAGUCUGGAAAGACACUAAUGGGGAGGAGAAUGGACUGUCGCUUGCAUUUACAUGUGGGCAUGAGCUCAGAGAAAAGUGAAGGAAAAAAACACCAUAAAAAUGCCCUCAGGCUCAAUGCCCAGGACAGAUAUAUUGCACAGCCACCAGAGUUUCCAACAGCACCAUUUCCUUCAUUAAUCUGGUGUUUUAUUCCUCUUCUUUUUUUUAAUUUUUGGAUGCUUUUCAAUUUUUAAGAUAGCUAGAAUUCUUUUUUACAUCUAUAUGCAUUCUUUACUGCUGAGAUGAUUAGUUCAUAUCCAUGAUUAAUAAGAAUGUCCUAUUAAGAACUUAAUAUAGUUAAAAGUGUGUGAAAAGAUUCAGGUUGGUUAAAUUUAUAAGUUAUUAAUGAUAAUAACAUAAGAGUUAUUAAGCACUAUUAUUGCCAGGCACUGUUCUAAGCAUUUUACAAUUAUUAUUUUAUUUCUCCAAGCUAUCAUAUGAGGUAUUUACUUAGUUUUGUCUCUAUUUUACAGAUGAGGAGACUGAGCAAAGAUGAAGUUCAAUAACCAUUUUAUUUUUAAAACUUCAUGGAAAACUGAAAUACGUACUUCUCUGACUUGGGAAAUGUAGUUAUUAAAUAUAAUUGUAAUUUUUUAAGUCUCAAGAUCAUAAAUACCUCUGUUUUUAACAUAAAUGAUACUCAUACUAUUAUAGGUAUCAGCAGGCAAAUAAUUAAAUUUGGAGUUUUGUUUGUUUUAUCUUUGUUUUGUUUUUAGUUUUGAAGUUUGAGUGAAUAUCUGGUUGAACUCUCGGUCUAAAAAUCUGAUUGAAAGAGAAAAAGCUAUUUAGAUACUUGAUGAAUCUGCAUAAUCAGUUUCCAGUAAAUCUAUUAGGUUGACGCAAACAUAAUUGUGGGUUUUGCCAUUAAAAGUAAUGGCAGGCCAGGUGCAGUACACACCUGUAAUCCCAGCACUUUGGGAGACAGAGGCAGGUGGAUCACCUGAGGUCAGAAGUUCAAAACCAGCCUGGCCAACAUGGUGAAACCCCAUCUCUCCUAAAAAUACAAAAAAUUAGCGACGCAUGGUGGCAGGCACCUGUAAUCCCAGCUACUCGGGAGGCUGAGGAAAGAGAAUCGCUUGAACCCAGGAGGCGGAGGUUGUGGUGAGCCGAGUUUGUGCCAUUGCACUCCAGCCUGGGCAACAAAAGCAAAACUCCAUCUCAAAAAAAAAAAAAAAAAUUAAUAGCAAAAACAGCAAUUAUGUUUGCACCUAUCUAAUAGGUGAGGCAACUUUUUUUGAAUAAGGACUAGAAGACUGCACAUAGUGUAGAGGAUGGAGUGACGAGCUGGAGUCCUGGUGCACUGUGAAGGAUGUAAAUGGAAGGGGUAAGAAUGUUUCCCAGUAACAACCUGAAACACAGGGAUUGUGCCAAAAAAUACUUUCUCCUAUAUUCUAUUUCUACCAUUAAUCACAUUCACACCAUCUCCUCCUCAUACCAUCUCAUCCUAACAAGCAAUAUGAGAUGCUUUUCUUCCAGAAGUCUCGGAUGUCUUCAUAAAACCAUAAGGAAGGGCCAUGGCUGAUUGUUUAACCAAAAGUGUAUGAUUGUAAGAGUUUGAAACAGUCAUUAACACAAAGUUAAAUAGCCUAAGUAUGUGGGUUUUGCAGCUGACCUUAAUAUUUGAUCCAAUGUUUUACAUUAUUACCACAUGACAUAGGUGAUAUUGUAAAGUGUUUCUGUGAAAGCCAUAGCAGGGUUAUAUUAUUUCACUGGUAGAAUCACAAAGUUUGGGCUUUUUAGCACUGCAUUUACUGUAAUUAAGCUAAGUAAGAAAUAUAUAGUUUAAAACAAGGAAGGUUUUUGUAUUAGUCCAUUUUCACACUGCUGAUAAAGACCUACGCGAGACUGUGUUAUUUACAAAAAAAAGAAGUUUAAUAAUGUACAGUUCCACAUGGCUGGGGAGGCCUCACAAUCAUGGUGGAAGGCAAGGAGGAGCAAGUCACAUCUUAAAUGGAUAGUGGCAGGCAAAGAAAAAUAUUGGGCAGGGAAACUGCUCUUUAUAAUAUUGUCAGAUUUUGUUUAUUCACAAGAGCAUGGGAAACACCUGCACCCAUGAUUCAAUUACCUCCCACUGGGUAACUCCCACAACACAUGGGAAUUCAAGAUGAGAUUUGGGAGGGGACACAGCCAAACCAUAUUAUUCUGCCCUGGCCCCUCCCAAAUCUUAUGUCCUUAGAUUUCAAAACCAAUCAUGCCUUCCCAACAGUCCCCCCAAAAUCUUAAACCAUUUCAGCAUUAAUUCAAAAGUCCAUAGUCCAACAUCUCAUUUUGAGACAAGGCAAGUUCCUUCUGCCUAUGAGCCUGUAAAACCAAAAGCAAGCUAGAUAUUUCCUAGACACAAUGAGGGUACAGGCAUUUGAUAAAUGCAUCCAUUCUAGAUGGGAGAAAUUGGCCAAAACAAAAGGGCUACAGGCCAUCCAUGCAAGUCCAAAAUCCAGCGGGGCAGUCAAAUCUUAAAGCUCCAAAAUGAUCUCCUUUGACUCCCCUAUCUCACAUCCAGGUCACAUUGAAGCAAGAGGUGGGACCCCAUGGUCUUUGGCAGCUGCACCCCUGUGGCUUUGCAGGGUACAGCCUCCCUCCCCGCUGCUUUAACAGGCUGGCAUUGAGUGUCUGUAGCUUUUCCAGGUGCACAGUGCAAGCUGUCAGUGGAUCUACUGUUCUGGGGUCUGGAGAAUAGAGGCCCACUUCUCACAGCUCCACUGGGUGGUGUCCCAGUAGAGACUCUGUGUGGGGCUCUGACCCCACAUUUCCCUUCUGUACUGCCCUAGUACAGGUUUCUCAUGAGAGCCCUGCCCCUGCAGCAAAUUACUGCCUGGACAUCCAGGCAUUUCCAUACAUCCUCUGAAAUCUAGGCAGAGGUUUCUAAACCCCAGUUCUUUACUUCUGUGUACUUGCAGGCUCAACACCACGUGGAAGUUGCCAAGACUUGGGGCUUGCAUCCUCUGAAGCCAUGACCCAAGGUCUACAUUGGCCCCUUUCAGCCACGACUGGAGCUGCUGAGAUGCAGGGCACCAAGUCCCUAGGCUGCACACAGCGUGGGGACCCUGGACCUGGCCCACGAAACCACUUUUUCUCCUAGAGCUCAGCUCCUAUGAUGGGAGAAGCUGCCUUGAAGACUUCUGACAUGCCCUGGAGAUACUUUCUCCAUUGUCUUGAAGGCAGUAUUAUGCAGAGGAAAACCAUGAGCUAUGGAAUCACAGAAAACCAACUGUGAUGCUGUGACUUACUGUGUGGUACUUACUGUGGCUAUGUGGCUUUGGACAAGUUAUGUGACUGCUCUGAGUCUCAGACAUGUUUUCUGAUUUGAUCUACAUAGCCCAAGUCUCCAAUUAUAAAGUGAUGAAUCGUCUGUUUACUCUCUUCCUUAAGUUCUAGGGCAGUGGUAUCCAAUCUGACAUGCAUCAGAUUCACGUACAGAACUUUAAAAAUACAUAUGUCUGUGCCCCACUCUAGACCAGCAUUGUCUAAUACAAAUAUGAGGCCAGCUACAUAUGUAAUUUUAAAUUUGCUAGACCCCCCGACAUUGCUAAAGUGAAAAUAAAUAGGUUAAAUUUAUUUCAAUGAUUUAUUUUAUUUAACCCAAUACAUUAAAAACAGUAUCUUUCAAUAUACAAAAGUUAUUACAAAUAAUAUUUUAUAUUCUUUUUGUUCUCAGUCUUUUAAAACCAUCUCAGUUCAGGCUAGCCACAUCUCAAGUACUCAAUAGUCGAAAAUGGCCAGUGGUGCCCAUAUUGGACAGUGCAAUCCUAGAUCUCUGUCUUGUUCUGGCAUUAUUUUGGGGAAGUGACUACUGUUCUGAGCCUAGUACAGUUGGAGAGACAUAUGCUAUUCCAAAUCUCUGUCCUUUCAACCUUUCUAAAGAAGCUGUUAUGAAUCUCUUUCUUUAAAAAAUGUUAUUCUAAUUUUAUCUGGAAUGCCAAGGCAUCUCAAUUCAAUUUUGAUUCAUACAUACUAUACAAAUGAACAAAACUCUAUAAUCCCAUAAAAUAAAAUACAUUGUUAACUUAAUUCUAUACAUUUUCUAAGGUUUUUGAUUUUUGGUGUUUUUGUUGUUGCCUUACAUGUCCAUUUUCUUUCAAAAUUAUCUUUGUUGCAGGAAUGAAUAAUUGAAUUAAAUGAUUGUUGAAUUCAACUAUUGAAAUGAUUCUAAAACUCUCAUCCUGCAAUGCUAGAAAAGAUGUCCCCCAACAUAUUCUGUUCUAUGGGAGUGGGAAGACUAUAUAACCUUUUAUCAGCUUAAUUACAAAGUCCAUUUAAACAGAACUCCCUGGGAACUGUAGGGUUUUAAUCUUUAUGGUGUACAAUUAUCUUUACCCAGUAAGUGCAUGAAAUAAACUACACUGUUCCUGAUUCUCAGUUCAAAUUUUAAAAAACAUGUUGUGAGAGAUAAAUAUAGCAUGUGAGCAAACAUGGCUUGCUGCUCAAUUGUUCAAAAAUGUAUCCACACAAACAAUUGUUGGGGUAAUUAUUAAUGCUAAAAAUAUGUGAAGUUGCAGUGACUGUGCACUUGAAGUCUAGUAUGUGUCGUUUGUUUUAUUCAUGAUAAACAGAUCAUUUAGAUGGAAAAUCCCAUCUGCUUAGAUAUAUCUCUUAUUAUUUAUGAGAACCAUGUUUAGGAAUGCAGGCAGCACAUGUGCAUAAUUAAUCCUGAAGAGAAUUAGACAUUGUUUGAUUCACAGCUGAAUGCAAUUAGCAUUAGGAAGUUUACAUAUGUUGGCAAUAACACAGAUUAGCAACUAAAGUGCUUGUUAAAAAAUUUAACCUGAGGCUGCUGGAUCAGACCUCUCUUAAUGAUGCUUUAAAUGUUGUUGAUGAAGUAAUAAUCAAUUUUGUUUUAUAAAUAGUAAACCAAGAAUUUAGGUCUAAUUAACAGUGCUACAGAUCACUUCACUUACAUAUCAGAUGUACUUGUGAUAUGUACUAUGAACUUUCUUUGAAUCUCAUGUGCAAACAGUUGUUAUGGAGCAGACAUGAUCCUUUCUAGAAAAAAAAAAUUCUAUUUUCUAGCUAGGGAAGGGUGACUAUCUGCCUUUCAGAAGGACUCAUCUAGAGGCGUUUAGCAUGAGAAUUCUGUCUUUGUCUCUUUGCUGCUUUUAAUUGUGGGAGAAACAACGUCCUCUCCUUCACAAGCAGAGCCAUUAGCCAGCUUACAGACUGUGAAACAGAGUCAUCUAAUGGGGAGGGAGGAGAGAAUGGAAAUGAUGAAAAUGAGGCCAAAAGUAAAAUUGAGCUGUAAUUGUUUGCACUUCAACUUUGAGAAGUUCACCAUUAAUUAAAAUGUUUCUGCAUCACUCACCACCAGACUGGCAAGAAGGAGGUAAGGCUGUGAGAGAGGCAGCCCUGGUGCCUUUCAGAAAGCAAGCAAGGCCUUUUAGCAAAUAUCUCCAGUACACAACUGCAGCAGAAUCACGGGGAGGCAGUCAGGCACAUUCUCCUGUGACAUUACUCACGCAGCCCUUAUUUGUGUUUUUGACUUUUCCUGUGCCUCAUUAUAAAUUAGCAUUAUACAUUUUCAGAAUCGAUGGGAAUAGAGAUGCCAUUUAUUCGGGAAACAUUUACCACAUUUCAUAGAGUCUAAGUCUCACAUUUAUUUUUUCAUACUUUAGCAUCUCUGAAAUGUAAGAUGCAGUGAUAACCAUCUCAGAGUUAAUUGGCAAUAUUUUUUCUUUAGUACAUAAAUAAUGAUAACAGCAUCUUAGAUCCAAUUAUUAGUCCAUUAUUAUUAAAUAUAUAAUUCUUAAAUAUUAAGUUAAAUAAUAUUACAUAUUAUUAGAUAUUACUCAGUUAUCAUAAAUGCCUUUUCUGUGCCAACUAGCGUGCUAGGGAUGAGGAAUAAAUGAGAAGAUAUAAUAUGAUGUGAGAAAGGUUAUAAUAAAGGUAUGUACAAACAGAAUGCUUGCAACUGAAACUGCAGAAACUUCAUUUACUUGGGGCUCAACAGGUAUGUGCACAUGAGAUUUUGUAACAGGUCUGUCCAUUUAUAAAGAGUCAUCAUGAUAGUGACUUUUGAGUGAUAAGCAAUGACAGCAGACAAUUCUAGAAUGGAAGCUCUAUGUGGGCAGGAACUUUUUAACUAUUUGUUCACUGCUGAGCUCUCAACACUGAGAACCAUGCUUGGCACAUAGAAGUCACUCAGUAACUCCCUGUCGAAUGAAAGAAGCCGCCCGUCCAGGAGUCAGCAAUCUAGCCUGCCCAUCUGUUUACUUAUACCCUGUAAGCAAAGAUAGUUUUUACAUUUCUAAAUGGUUGGGGAAAAAAUCAAGGGAGGAAUAAUAUUUCAUGACAUAGUAAAAUUACAUAAAAUUCAAAUUCCCUUAUCUAUAAAUUUUAUUGGCACACAUCCACAUCUUUUCAUUUGCAUUUUGCCUGCGGCUAUUUUCUUGUUACAACAUCAGGGUUGAGUAGUUGUAAAAGGAACCUCGUGGCCCACAAAUCCGAAAAUAGCCAGAUAGUAAUGGCUGGCCAUUUACAGAAAGUUUGCUGAUCACUGGACUAUGCUGUUGUCAGAGUGGCUAUCAUGAGAUUAUGUUCAAUUCAGUUGUUCUCUGCCCUCACCAAUUCCGUCACCAUGGAAUCCCCUACUGCUCCUCAUCCCACUGGACCCAGAAACUUCUAUACCAUCACUGAUAACAUACAUGAUGAUACAGAAGAAAACCCAAUCCUAGGCCCCCCCAAAACCCCUUAAAAUUGUCCCUUGACCCUCAUAAAAUUAAAUUAAUUUUGGCUCUCUUGGUAGAAAUGCAUAAGCUGAAUUGUAUAUAUUAAAGCUUAAUGAUAAUACCUCCUGGUAAUGAUCAAAUUUGGUACAACUUUAAUCCAUUUGGCUUCUAUCCAAGAAGACCCAUUAGAGAAAGAAAGUACCAGCUGAAUUUCAUUAUAAAAAUACUUUAUAUGUUAUGUGUUCCUGAGACAUGAACCCAGAGAGUGUUAUGCUUUUAAUUAAAGAUUAUCAGUUUGAAAAAUCCCCUUCUCUUUCCCAUCUGCUCUGUGCUAGUUGAUUUCACUUGUCCACUAGGAGUUGAGUGACUACAAAAGAAUCACAAAGUAUUGGCAGAUGGGCAGGGAGCCAGCACAGUCUGAGGGUGUCUGAGAUCACAGCUAUGUUGCCAAUGAAUCAGCAGUUCACACAUAGUUCCACUGGAUCCUGGUACAGUCACUGACAGUAUGUAAAAUGCAGCCUUCAAUGGGGAGGAAUGUAGGCACUGAUAGAGAAAGCCUAUGCAUUUAUUCUAAGGUUCUGAGUUAUCUUCCUGCCUUCUCAUCAGCAGAAUCUGCUAGAAACAGGAGUUAAUUUUUCUGCUUGCAAAUGGAGGCACAAACUAUUCCAUUAUUAUUAACUCACUAAUCUCUAGGCACCAUGAGGAUAGGGGCCAAUUCCAUCUUUUUCAUGGCUCUUUGUAUCCCCAUCAUAGGGGGAUAUAGCAUAGUGUAGUGCUAAGCCAAUAUAUCUUUCUUGACUAAAGAGAUAUCCCACACAGGCAUUAGUAUAGCUGGGUUUCCUUAUAACUCUUUGCAUCAUGCAAUUCUUUGCUAUCUCUAGACAAUAUUUUGAUAUUAUGGAGUCUUUUUUAAUGCAGAGAUAGAUAUAAAUGUGUGGGAAAAAACUCCUUCAAAAAGUAAAUGGGAGGGGGAAAGGGACAGUUGGGUAAAAAAAUAAUAAGAAUCCAAGGUAAUGUUACUCACUGGCCACUAGCUUAUCGUCCAUUAUUAUUCCAGUAUAAAUUAGUAAGAUCAGCAUUCACUAAGAACAUAGAGAAAAAACAGGAUUGCAAAAACCUUUAAAGAUUUGAAUCAAGUAUCAAAAUAUAGGGAAUAGGGUACUGCCAACAGGCCAAAUCUACAGUCCUUUAUUGGGAAACUAUUGAGUAAACAAAAGGCACUUGAAAGGAGAUGCUAAAACUGAGAAGAGAGCUUGUUUCAGAGAGUACUAAGACCCCAGUAUUCAUUUCCCCCUUUAGUCUUUUCAUUACUCGCGUGCGCGCGCGCGCACACACACACACACACACACACACAGUUUUAGCAAAAACAAUCCAACUUGCUAGAUAUUUUCUAGCUUUAUAUUUUCUUUCUUUGUUGUUAAGUGUGACCAUAUGUCUAAAUUCUGGCCAAGGUGAGGUAGGCAGAGAUGAUAUUUGCAAAUUCUAAAUCAUCCCCUUAAAGGAAGCUGCUUAUCCUCCAGCACGUCUUUCUCCUUCUUGUGUGCAAGAAAAAGGGCACAGUGCUGGCAAUCUGAUGUAUUAGUCUGCAAGGACUGCCAUAACAAAAUACCACAGACUGGGUGGCUUAAACAACAAAACAACAGGAAUUUAUUUUCUCACAUUUCUAGAGGCUAGAAAUCCAAAAUCAAGGUGCCAUCACAUUUUGUUUUCUUCUGUGGCCUCUCCUGCUGGUUUGCUGGUUUUGCUCUCUUCACAUGGCCUCUUCUCUACACAUACAGAGAAGAGAGAGCUCUGUGUCUCUUCCUCUUCUUAUAAGGCCACCACUCCUAUAGGAUUAAGGCCUCACCCUCAUGACCUCAUUGAAAGUUUGCGACUUCCCUGUAGGCCUUAUCUCCAAAUACAUUCCCAUUUGGGGUUAGGGCUUCAGUAUAUGAAUGGGGGAAGGGACGCAGUGACUGCCAGCUUCAAGGAUGUCCCCUAAGGUGGUGGCAGAGCACUGUAAUGGAAGACAUUUGUCCUGGGUGAUUUUCUGAAGUAGAGCCAUGUGACCUCUUUGGACUGCCUACCCCUCUCUUGACUGUAUGUGUCAGCCACUGGAUUUCUGGAUGCAUUUGUUGCUGUAGCCAUAUCCUAACUAGUAAAGCUUAAAAGAGGAAAUCCAAAAUAAACUUUCUCUUGCUUCACAACUCUGUUUGGGGCAACUUUUUAAGAGAAAACAAAAAACUGAACAGGCCAUCCAUCCUCUUAUCUGAAUUUCUUCUUGAAUGUGGUUUCACUUUAUGCUUAAUACUAAUCUAAUUAUAUCCAAAUAGGCAAAUGCUUAAAUAUCACAGUCUCAUCUUUCACAUAAUAGCUCUCUAAUCUGUGGCAGCCAGAUUAAUUUUAGUCUUUGUAUUAGUCCAUUUUUACAAUAUAAAGAACUACCUGAGACUGGGUAAUUUAUAAAGAGGUUUAAUUGGCUCACAGUUCUGCAUGGUUAGGGAGGCCUCAGGAAACCUACAAUCAUGGCAGAAGGUGAAGGGGAAGCCAGGCACAUAUUACAUAGCAUGGGAGAGACAGACGGAGAAGUAGGAAGCACCACACAUUUAUCAAACAACCAAAUAUCAUGAGAACUCUAUCAGAAUAA
rnacentral:lncRNA from 1 species